GCAUAUCAAUAAGCGGAGGAAAAGAAACCAACAGGGAUUGCCUCAGUAACGGGCGAGUGAAGCGGCAACAGCUCAAAUUUGAAAUCUGGCCCCCGGCCCGAGUUGUAAUUUGCAGAGGAUGUUUCUGGCGAGGUGCCUUCCGAGUUCCCUGGAACGGGACGCCAUAGAGGGUGAGAGCCCCGUACGGUUGGUCGCUAAGCCUCUGUGAAACUCCUUCGACGAGUCGAGUAGUUUGGGAAUGCUGCUCUAAAUGGGAGGUAUACGUCUUCUAAAGCUAAAUACCGGCCAGAGACCGAUAGCGCACAAGUAGAGUGAUCGAAAGAUGAAAAGCACUUUGAAAAGAGGGUUAAAUAGUACGUGAAAUUGUUGAAAGGGAAGCGCUUAUGACCAGACUUGGGCCGGUUGAUCAUCCAUCGUUCUCGGUGGUGCACUCUGCCGGCUCAGGCCAGCAUCAGUUCGGCGCGGGGGAUAAAGGCUUCGGGAAUGUGGCUCCUCACGGGGAGUGUUAUAGCCCGCUGCGUAAUACCCUGGGCUGGACUGAGGUACGCGCUCCGCAAGGAUGCUGGCGUAAUGGUCAUCAGUGACCCGUCUUGAAACACGGACCAAGGAGUCGUCUUCGUAUGCGAGUGUUCGGGUGUCAAACCCCUACGCGGAAUGAAAGUGAACGUAGGAGAGAGCUUCGGCGCAUCUCCGACCGAUCCUGAUGUUCUCGGAUGGAUUUGAGUAAGAGCAUACGGGGCCGGACCCGAAAGAAGGUGAACUAUGCCUGUAUAGGGUGAAGCCAGAGGAAACUCUGGUGGAGGCUCGCAGCGGUUCUGACGUGCAAAUCGAUCGUCAAAUAUGGGCAUGGGGGGCGAAAGACUAAUCGAACCUUCUAGUAGCUGGUUCGCCGA
rnacentral:rRNA from 1 species